AACGCACUACCGGUACCUGCACGUGUCCCAAAAAACCUCAAAUCAGACCCAGGGCCCAUUUUUGGCCAAUAUUGGAAUUUCGGCACGGUGGCUCCACCGUGCUCUGGCGACGGCGGCUCCGCCGUGCUCCGGCGACGGCACCGUUGCCCGCGACGGCAAUCUGCUUCGGGUUGGUCGUUUUCGUCUGUUUUCGGCCGAAUUCGACCAAACUUGUAUUGGUUCCUGCGAUAAAACAACCCUAGGGCCCUCGGUGGGCAAAAAAAUCAUGAAAAACCAAGACUUACCAGCGGCGGAGCUCUCAGGUGCGGCGGCUUUUCCGACACGAGUC
rnacentral:lncRNA from 1 species